rnacentral:rRNA from 1 species
AUGUACGUGGAGUAUCUGAUCAUACUAGAUCAUUCAGGACAGGGCAGCAAGCCGAUCGAGACCAAUCUCAGGGAGCGAGGACCCCCUCGCUGUGACUACUCGCGUCUGCGCUCAUUGUUGCCCUCGCGGUCAUCGCGGCAUCCAUCUAUACUGUACGACAAUCCAUUAUGUACUCCUUGUGUGCUCACUCAUCCGCCCACGGUCAUGAUGUGUUGCCACCAUGCCGUCGACUUGUAUACGUAUACCACGCGUGAUCGCCGGGAUCUAUUGGUUGCUCAUCAUAACGUAGUGAUGCAUCUGAACUUGAUCGAUCUAAUCAAGGACGCUAGCUUGGCUAGCUUCGUGCAUCUCGGCAAAAGGCAUCGACCAGCGACCGGCAAGGAUCGAUUGGGGCGAAUUUUUUUCCCAUUAAGUCAUACUAUCGGGUCGGGUUUGGGUAUAUCCAUGGGUAUAAGAUUAUAUCCAUGCCCUACCCACGAGCAAUCGGGUCGGGUUUGGGCGCCGCCCAUGGACACAAAAGCAUAUCCAAACCCUAUCCAUUCGGAUCGGAUAUCCAUGGGUAAAAUUGCCAUCCUUAGGGGCGAGGAAAUUGAGAACAUAUUCCCCUCCGUGAAAGGCACUUCUGCAAGCAAACCAGAAAAGCUUGCAGUGCUCCGCCAGAUCAAACAGGUUGCUGAGCACAAUAGGAUAUAG